rnacentral:rRNA from 1 species
UACGGGGGGGGCAAGCGUUGUUCGGAAUUACUGGGCGUAAAGGGCUCGUAGGCGGCCAACUAAGUCAGACGUGAAAUCCCUCGGCUUAACCGGGGAACUGCGUCUGAUACUGGAUGGCUUGAGUGUGGGAGAGGGAUGCGGAAUUCCAGGUGUAGCGGUGAAAUGCGUAGAUAUCUGGAGGAACACCGGUGGCGAAGGCGGGUCUCUGGGCCGUAACUGACGCUGAGGAGCGAAAGCUAGGGGAGCAAACGGG